rnacentral:lncRNA from 1 species
UCACAUUCACUUUCUUCUACAUCAUAUUCAAACUUGUCCAAAUAAAUAAUAAAGUCAUCUCGACUCAAAGAAAGUCAUAUAAGUCUCAUACAAUUAAUAUAGAACCUAUAUCCUAAUGUCACAUCCUAUCAGAGCGUGGUGUUCCCGUGUCCUCUAGCAUGAGGUUCUUCAUAGUCAUCCACCUAUUCAUCUGCUCCCCCGAACACAAGUUCAAGAUCAUCACAGGAUCCAAGCACAACAACACACAGGGAGUGAGUUAUCACAUUCCUAGCUAAUAGAGAAACAAGACAAUUAAAUAUACAUAUUAUAUAAAUGAGAUACUACUUGCUUAAACAUAGCUCACGUAACUUCACCACUUCGUCAUUCAAAAUUCACUUUUCAAUUAUCAAUCACAUUACACAAGAAUCCCACACUUCGAUCAAGAUAUAAUAACACAUCAAUUAGCAAGCAUAUGUAAUAGUUAUGCUAAGACUCAAUUCUAUAUGCAAUGUGGUACCAUGUCAGUGAAAAACCACCCUGGGGCUCUUAGGAGUACAUAACAAGAUACACCACACAAUGGGUUUGUUAGGUCACUCUCACUAAGUAAGAUCAUAGGGAGACCAGUCAGGGUCACGAUGUUUUGCGAGAAUGCUCCAACCAUAUGAGAUCAGCAUAGGCUUAAAGGAGCACUCAAACCCGGUGACCCCCAAGACCUACACUCCGAAGAGUCCGUCAGGGCCUCUCCCUCCUGAUUCAGGUCCAACCCCUAAAAUAAUUUUUUUUACAUGCAGACACUGUUCAUGAAUUAUACAAUACCCACGACCUUACACUCGUGUUUUAAACACGUUCAACACAAUUGCGCUACGAUUUAACACUGGUUCCUAAAUAGGAAACCUACAUUUUCUCUUUAACACUGUGCAUCAACGCUUUUCUCAAGAUAACGCUGGUCGGGUAUUGUACAAUUCAUAGCUUACAACACAAGUAAUUUCACAUCAAGUGUUAACUACACACUUAUCCACAACUAGAACUCAUUCACAAUUUCACAUCUCAUAGUGUCACAAUCCACCAUCACAUGUUUACACGUAUCUCACAAAUUAACACAUGUUCAACUUUACACUUAUACUCAAUCUCAAUAACAAUAUUAUAAUCUCAAAGCAACAUGUUAUUCUACAAUUCAUCACAUACUCACAAUUUGAAUUAUCAUUUCAUAUCCUCAAUAUAACAAUUUAUAUAAAAGACUAUCACAACAUGAGGACUAAAACCCCUCAAAUAAUAUUACACAAUUAUAUCCAAAUCAUAGGUCCAAAUAUACAAAUAUCAAGAGCACAAUUUAUCAAGCAAUUUUCAUCAGGACAUCAAUAUUUUAUUUAUAAUCAUAAAGGAAAAAUUGCAAUUUAACAAACAUCCCAAAAUAAAAUCCCAAUUUAAUCCUCUAAGGAUCCCUACACAUGUUCUCACUAAUCCCCAACUGUGAAUAACUCAUCUCUUACCUCUAAGCGGGCUCACGUGUCUUCAGCCAACGAUAGCAACAUCUCUAGCGGUUCCCGG